CCUACGGGUUGCACCAGUGGGGAAUAUUGCACAAUGGGCGCAAGCCUGAUGCAGCCAUGCCGCGUGUAUGAAGAAGGCCUUCGGGUUGUAAAGUACUUUCAGCGGGGAGGAAGGCGAUAAGGUUAAUAACCUUGUCGAUUAACGUUACCCGCAGAAGAAGCACCGGCUAACUCCGUGCCAGCAGCCGCGGUAAUACGGAGGGUGCAAGCGUUAAUCGGAAUUACUGGGCGUAAAGCGCACGCAGGCGGUCUGUCAAGUCGGAUGUGAAAUCCCCGGGCUCAACCUGGGAACUGCAUUCGAAACUGGCAGGCUAGAGUCUUGUAGAGGGGGGUAGAAUUCCAGGUGUAGCGGUGAAAUGCGUAGAGAUCUGGAGGAAUACCGGUGGCGAAGGCGGCCCCCUGGACAAAGACUGACGCUCAGGUGCGAAAGCGUGGGGAGCAAACAGGAUUAGAUACCCCAGUAGUC
rnacentral:rRNA from 1 species